AGCUUGCUUUGGUUUGGUGAGAGUGGCGCACGGGUGCGUAACGCGUGAGCAACCUACCCUUGUCAGGGGGAUAGCCCGGCGAAAGUCGGAUUAAUACCGCAUGACAUCAUUGAGAGGCAUCUUUCGAUGAUCAAAGAAUUAUCGGACAAGGAUGGGCUCGCGUGACAUUAGCUAGUUGGUAAGGUAACGGCUUACCAAGGCUGCGAUGUCUAGGGGCUCUGAGAGGAGAAUCCCCCACACUGGUACUGAGACACGGACCAGACUCCUACGGGAGGCAGCAGUAAGGAAUAUUGGUCAAUGGACGGAAGUCUGAACCAGCCAUGCCGCGUGCAGGAGGACUGCCCUAUGGGUUGUAAACUGCUUUUAUACGGGAACAAACGUCGGUACGUGUACCGGUCUGAGUGUACCGUAAGAAUAAGGAUCGGCUAACUCCGUGCCAGCAGCCGCGGUAAUACGGAGGAUCCGAGCGUUAUCCGGAAUUAUUGGGUUUAAAGGGUGCGUAGGCGGCCAAAUAAGUCAGGGGUGAAAGUCGGCAGCUCAACUGUCGCAGUGCCUUUGAUACUGUUUGGCUUGAAUUCGGUUGAAGAUGGCGGAAUGAGACAAGUAGCGGUGAAAUGCAUAGAUAUGUCUCAGAACACCGAUUGCGAAGGCAGCUAUCUAAGCCGUUAUUGACGCUGAUGCA
rnacentral:rRNA from 1 species